rnacentral:rRNA from 1 species
UACGUAGGGUGCAAGCGUUGUCCGGAAUUAUUGGGCGUAAAGAGCUUGUAGGCGGUUUGUCGCGUCUGCUGUGAAAUUUCGGGGCUCAACCCCGAACUUGCAGUGGGUACGGGCAGACUAGAGUGUGGUAGGGGAGACUGGAAUUCCUGGUGUAGCGGUGAAAUGCGCAGAUAUCAGGAGGAACACCGAUGGCGAAGGCAGGUCUCUGGGCUAUAACUGACGCUGAGAAGCGAAAGCAUGGGGAGCGAACAGG